CAGGAAUUAAACAAUAUCAGUGACUGGAAGUGGGAUUGUGAAAUAAUCCUCACCACAAUUAACAGCCUGGGACAACUGUAAAUUUUUCCAGCAAAGAAAAAGGCGACAAAACAAGAAGAAAUUGGCUUCAUAAAAAUCCUUAUGGUAGCCUUAGUUCUCAGUUGUUUAAAUCACUGAAAUUUUGAUGAGAGAAUGGAGAUGUCACAAAACGUUGGGGAUCAGGAGACUUAUGGAUCGUCAUUCUUGUAGCAGCACCUGAAAUGAUGGGGUCUCCUUCAGAGCUACAUGAUGGUGCAGCUUUGCCAGUGGACUGGGAGAAGAUGGCACCUGAAGUGCAUUUCAUGUUCCAGUUGGGAGAAAAUUCAGAACAGAGAAGAAAGGAAUGCAAGUAUACAUCUUUCAAAUCUGACACUGAUGAGUUAUUUAAAUCAAUACUUGCCUGUCAAAAAUUAAAUUCAUGAGGGAACUUUUAAGAACACGUUCUGCCAAAUGAGAGGACCUAUAGCUGCUAUCAUCCUUCAAGAAUGACACUUGAAUUUUAUCUAAUUGUAAUACUUCCAUGUUUAAUUACUAAGUGUAACAUCACAUGCUCAUCGACAAAUAAAGAUUAAAAAAAGCAUAAUUUGUCUG